AACAUUGGACAAUGGGGGCAACCCUGAUCUAGCCAUGCCGCGAGUGUGAAGAAGGUCUNAGGAUUNUNAAGCAUUUUAAGUUGGGNGAAAGGGCUUUAGGUUAAUACCCUGAAGUUCUGACGAUACCAACAGAAUAAGCUCCGGCUAACUCUGUGCCAGCAGCCGCGGUAAUACAGAGGGUGCAAGCGUUAAUCGGAAUUACUGGGCGUAAAGCGCGCGUAGGUGGUUCAGUAAGAUGGGUGUGAAAUCCCCGGGCUUAACCUGGGAACUGCUUUCAUAACUGCUGAGCUAGAGUACGGUAGAGGGUAGUGGAAUUUCCUGUGUAGCGGUGAAAUGCGUAGAUAUAGGAAGGAACACCAGUGGCGAAGGCGACUACCUGGACUGAUACUGACACUGAGGUGCGAAAGCGUGGGGAGCAAAC
rnacentral:rRNA from 1 species